AUUGAACGCUGGCGGCAGGCCUAACACAUGCAAGUCGAACGGUAACAGGAAGAAGCUUGCUUCUUUGCUGACGAGUGGCGGACGGGUGAGUAAUGUCUGGGAAACUGCCUGAUGGAGGGGGAUAACUACUGGAAACGGUAGCUAAUACCGCAUAACGUCGCAAGACCAAAGAGGGGGACCUUCGGGCCUCUUGCCAUCGGAUGUGCCCAGAUGGGAUUAGCUAGUAGGUGGGGUAACGGCUCACCUACGCGACGAUCCCUAGCUGGUCUGAGAGGAUGACCAGCCACACUGGAACUGAGACACGGUCCAGACUCCUACGGGAGGCAGCAGUGGGGAAUAUUACACAAUGGGCGCAAGCCUGAUGCAGCCAUGCCGCGUGUAUGAAGAAGGCCUUCGGGUUGUAAAGUACUUUCAGCGGGGAGGAAGGGAGUAAAGUUAAUACCUUUGCUCAUUGACGUUACCCGCAGAAGAAGCACCGGCUAACUCCGUG
rnacentral:rRNA from 1 species